CUGCAACCUCCACAGACGGCCGCCAGGUGGCGCCGCGCCGGGGCCCGGGAGCAGGCGGGCCCGGGGCGGGGUUGGAGGGACUCAGCUACGCGCCUGGGGAGGCCGCGGGCCCUCGCAGACUACCGAACUUCCAUUCUGCCGCCGGGUUUUCACACCUGCCGGCCCCGAGGAAACAAUGACGUUGGGAUUUUGGGGGGCCGCCCCUUGACUCGGGCGAAUGGGACACGAACGGCGACCCCUUGCUCUCUUCCAUCCGCCUGCCGCCGUUGCUGCCCACCGACUCCUACAGCUCAUUUCUCGCUCCUGCAGGCUCCAGGAAUGCAAAUAAUUUCUCACUGGGUUUUGGCGGGGGCGCGGAGCUGCGGCGAAGCGCGCGCCCGACAGCUUUCGCCGCAGCUGGGUCCCCGGGCGCUGGCGGCUGCGGCCCCCAGAUACGGGCGGAGGCUGCAAUAUGCACAUGCGGCCACAGUGUGGCGCCAGGGGCCCGCCGCGGGACACGCUCGGAGCGCGACGCCCCAUCCCAUCAUUUACGGAUCAAACCAAAUAAUCUAGAAUCAAGUUGCUGUGUGUGUCAUACUCCUCCUGUUUUUUUUCCCUAAACUUUUAGUAGAGUCAUUUACAUAGUUCAGUUUUUACCUCAGCUGUUACACAGUGGCAGGAAAAUAUUUUGUCUCCAAACUACAGCCCAAGUAUGAGAGCAGCGUAUCCUGAAGCUAAUUAGUAACCAGAAAAUCAGGAAGGUAAAGCAAAUCUCUGGAGGCAAGAUCUGGACUCUAUGAUAUCGCCGCUUCUCCCCACUUGAAGCGUCUCUUUGCAGUGCCGCACUUGGAGAUUUGGACUUAAUCGUUAAACAAAAAGAACAGUUACAUUCUGCCUUCCUACAGGGCAGGGGCCUAGGACUGGCAGCAUUUUUGUUGUCUCUAGAAAUAGAGGGGUUAUGAGAGAGCCUCAAAAGAGAGGGCAAGAAUAACACAUCCAUUUCUCAUCAUGAGUUACCCCCUUGUAUGCCUAGAACGCGUAUGGAGACAUUCUCUUUUAGUAAAGUCAAAGAGAAAAGCCAUGAACUAAGUAUCCUGAACACAGAGGCGUGAGCCCUCUCAGUCUCACAGUCCCUUAGGAGUCAUUUAUCUCAGAAGUUGGUUGAAACAAAAACAGUUCAUACAGCAUGGUAGGCAGAAUUCUAAAAUGAUCCCAAUGACUCACUCCCUUGCAUAAUCCCCUUGAGUGUGGGUGGAACCUAUGACUUGCUUCUAGCCAACAGAAUAUGACAAGGGUGAUGAAAUGUCACUCUUGGGAUUGCUACAUUAUGUAAGACUCUAUCUUAGCAGUCUGGAUGGAAAGUCUCCUCCUGAACUUGAAGAGGUAAGCUGCCACGCCAGGAGAGGGCCUACAAGAGUGCCACAAGGCAAGGGCCUCUAGGAGCUGAGAGUGGCCCCCCACUGAUGGGCAGCAAGAAAGCAGGAACCUCAGUCCUACAACCACAAAGAACUGAAUUCUGCCAGUGACCUUGUGAGCCUGGAAGAGCUGCAAAAAGAAACACAGCAAAGUCAACACCCUAACUGCAGCCUUGGAAGACUCUCAGCAGAGCACUCAGCUAAGCUGUGAUGGGAGUCCUGACCCAUGGAAACUGGAAGAUCUUAAAUGUAUGUUGUUGCUAAAUUUGUUACACAGCAAUAGAAAACAAAUACACUCCAACUCUUGACAAAUUUGUUAAUAGGACCACGCAUCCUGAGACAAACACACAGAAGGGCAAACAUCCAGAUAUAAACAUCCUACUACAUUGAUAUGAAUACUCACAUAUGUAAGAUCAAUGAUAUCACUAGCAAAACAAGCUCCAAGUCAAUGGGUUUUUCCUUUCGACAAACACCUCUACACAUAACCAAAAAUGCUUCAACUACUUUUCUUUUCUCCAGAGGCAGUUGGUUUGGCUAAGUAAAAAUGGGGUUCUUAGGAGACUAAGGCGGAAAAGAGACAAUAGUGCCUUUUUCCCCUCCAGAACUUAUCUAAGAAUGGAAGGCAGGUGUUUCUAUGCUAUACAUAGCAUGAAUUUUACAGUCAUGGAUACUGAUAUAAUGCUUCCAAAUAGAAUUAAUUCUCUUCCCUCCCUUAUUCCCACCCACAGCCAGCAGAUGCUGAAAGACUGCACUGUCCAAACACUGCCAUCUUUGCUUUAUAUAUCCAAAAGAGUGGGAAAUGCUGUCACAUCUCCAUCAGAAACUGUCAAACACUAGUAAUGGUAGAAAAUAUCUGAAUGACACAAUUAAUAGGCUUGAUUUUGUGGAUGCUCUACUUUAGAAAGAAAAUUCAUAUGCUUUUCAAACACACAUGCAAUAUUAGAAAAAUUAAGUGUGAACUAGGCCACAAAGCAAUUUUCAACAAAUACUAAUGAACUGAUACCAUGUUUAACACAAAUUCUAACCAAAGUGCUAUAACAUUAGAAAUCAAUAACAAAAAACUACCCUCCAAAAAACAUCUAAGUAAUUCAUGAAUAAAAUAAUGUAUAACAGAAAUUUAUGAGUUUUAAACUUAAAUGGUAAUGGUAGUAUUAUAUAUCAAAACUCACGAGAUGCAGCUUUUAGCAGACAUUACUAAUUUCCUACUCAACAAUCAUUCCCCUACCUUCAUGACUUUGGUGUCAGCCAUAUGAUUAGGGCUCGGGUCCACCAACCAGCUGCAUUUUCUUGGUCUUAGCAUAUACUGAUUAAAUUGAAAUGACUAAGAGUCAGUGAGCUGCAAUUGAAUUCCCCAUGGCUGACUGUGGCGGAACAUUUUAAAAUAGGGCAUAGACAGCACCAACCAAAAAUGUUGGUGUAUUGUACUGUAGUAAAAUUAACAAGUCUUGUUCAUUGAAAACAAACAAAACUUUAAUAUUAUAGUGAAAAGAAAAGCCACAGAGUGGGAGAAGAUAUUUAAGACACUUGAAAAAGGACUUAUAUCCAGAAUAUAUAAAUAACUCCUAUAAGUCAGUAAGAAAAAGACAGACAAUAGAAAAAUUAUCAAAAAGAGCUUACAAAAAAGGAUACCCAAAUAGGUAAUAAACGUGAAAAAUGGUCAAUAUCAUAGUCAUUAGGGAAAUGCUUAAUUUGCAUUUGUAUAUCCAAAAGAGUGGGAAAUUGUAACAUACCUCCAUCAGAUACUGUCGAACAUUAGUAAUGGUAGAAAAUAUUUGAAACAUGUAAACAAAAAUAUCCACAGCAUUACUAUUUGUAAGUGGUCAAAACCAGAAGCAACCCGAGCCCCUCAGCAGAAUGGGAAAAUAUGAAAUAUACAGUAAUAAGAACAAAUGAACUUCAAUUUACAACAUGUAUACUGUUCACAAUCAUAAUGUUGAGAAAAAUAAACCAGACACAAAAGAGUACAUCCUGUCCCAUACCGUAGCCCUUUAUAUGAAGUUCAAAAAUAGGCAAAAAACCUAUGGUGCUGGAAGUCAGUGUCAGGGGUGGACUAGAAAUGGGCAAGAAGGAGUUUCUGAGGUGCUGGAAAUGUCUAAAAUAGAUCUGGAUGCUGUUUACUUUGAAAAAAUUUACUGUGGCGUACAUUUAUGGCUUGUUGUACAUAAGUUAUAUUUCAAUGAAAAUUCACAUUAAAAUGUAAUGUAAAAAAGAUAUGAUUCUCAGUAAGUCACUGAUGCUGAGUGUCCUAGAGUCUGUGUAGAGGUAAAGAAAAUGGGCUCUUCCCAGCCCUAGUCCUUUUGUUGUCACUUGAACCAUGAAACACUUCUGCUUGAAUUACCCAAAGUGUCUUGUUGAAACAGCUCUGUCAGAGGUUGCAGUGAGCCAAGAUCGCACCACUGCAUUCCAGCCUGGGCAACGGAGUGAGACUCUGUCUCAAAAAAAAAAAAAAAAAAAAAAAAAAAAAAAAAAAAGGGAAACAGCUCUGUCAGCUUCCCUAACCUCUCCAUCCUAAGAACUUAUUUACAGAGACCUAAGGGACACAUGAGGAACAUCAAGCCUUCCCUCAGACAUUCUCAACAUUUCCUUGGCUAAAACACAUUUCCUCUAACAGCAACCAUGUCUGCAUAAAGGCAAUUUUGCCUCCAGUGUGGAUUAACUUUUGCAUUAUCAUUUUUAAAGAAGUUUAAACUCAUCACUUCUGAAUAACUAAAUAAUACAUUUGGUUAUUUUGUCUUGCAUAUUGAAUGAAGCAUUUUUCCCUGAAGAAUAUUGCAGUCUCCAUCUCUUGAUGAAUAGAAACUCCUUACAGGUUUAAGUGGGUGGUGGGCUUUUCUGCUUCCACUUAUUAAAAUAUGACAAUAAUUCCAUGUCCAGAAUAUUAUCUUACAGAUACCCUAUGAAAUGUGCCCCCGGAAUGUAUGUAUAAAGAUAAUUAUUGCAGCAAUGCUUGUAAAAUCAAAAGAGUGGAAACAUCUUAUAAAUUUGCUAAUAGGCAGAAUGGUUAAAUUAAUUCUGGUACAGCUGUGCAGCAGACAUUUUAAAGUGGAUUUCUAUUAAUAUAAACAGAACUUCAAGGUAUUUUAAGUGAUAAAAGUAAGAUAUAGGACAAUACUUAGAAAGUGUUCUACCACCCACAGCUUUAAAACUAUAUAUAUGUGUGUAUAUAUAUAUAUAUAUAUAUAUAUAUAGUUUAUAUAUAAUAAUGCUAAUAUAUACAUAUAUAUGCAUAAUAUGUAUAUAUAUAUAUUAGCAGUUUUGUUUCUGUGGAAGGUGACUGCAGAUCUAGGGUUUUGGGUGGGAGGAAGAUAUUUCAUUGUUCAUUAUUGCUCAUUUGUUUGAAUUAUUAUUAUUUACUAUGUACAGGCAUACAUUUGGAAUAAUGAUACAAUCUUAGGGCCGAAGUCUUAACUCUAGACAUCCUACUUAGAGCUGGCCCAGCUGAGGUACUGUUGGUACACAGUUUAAGGACCCUGCUGUGAUGUUUUGAGUAUACUGAUUUAGUGUCACCUGGUAGGUACGUAGUGCUGAGACCUGCACCCAGAUAAAUCGACACACACACAUCUGGCAUCCAGAAAGGAGAGAACGCAGAGGAAGACCUUGUAGUUUCCGGCCCUCCUGGUCCAAGUCAUAAUUACCUCUGUGGAUUUCCAGCUGUAUGGGGUCACUUCGCCCUGAGAGACCUCUCUGGCACCUGUAUUCACC
rnacentral:lncRNA from 10 species